AGGCGCAGCUUACACAUGCAGUCGAGCGCACUCUUCGGAGUGAGCGGCGGACGGGUUAGUAACGCGUGGGAACGUGCCCUUCUCUAAGGAAUAGCCACUGGAAACGGUGAGUAAUACCUUAUACGCCCUUCGGGGGAAAGAUUUAUCGGAGAAGGAUCGGCCCGCGUUAGAUUAGAUAGUUGGUGGGGUAAUGGCCUACCAAGUCUACGAUCUAUAGCUGGUUUUAGAGGAUGAUCAGCAACACUGGGACUGAGACACGGCCCAGACUCCUACGGGAGGCAGCAGUGGGGAAUCUUGGACAAUGGGCGCAAGCCUGAUCCAGCCAUGCCGCGUGAGUGAUGAAGGCCUUAGGGUCGUAAAGCUCUUUCGCCAGAGAUGAUAAUGACAGUAUCUGGUAAAGAAACCCCGGCUAACUCCGUGCCAGCAGCCGCGGUAAUACGGAGGGGGUUAGCGUUGUUCGGAAUUACUGGGCGUAAAGCGCACGUAGGCGGAUCAGAAAGUAUAGGGUGAAAUCCCAGGGCUCAACCCUGGAACUGCCUUGUAAACUCCUGGUCUUGAGUUCGAGAGAGGUGAGUGGAAUUCCGAGUGUAGAGGUGAAAUUCGUAGAUAUUCGGAGGAACACCAGUGGCGAAGGCGGCUCACUGGCUCGAUACUGACGCUGAGGUGCGAAAGUGUGGGGAGCAAACAGGAUUAGAUACCCUGGUAGUCCA
rnacentral:rRNA from 1 species